GGAAAGAGUCGUGGCUUAGGGGGAGAACACCUGCCUUGCAGGCAGAAGGUCCCAGGUUCAAUCCCUGGCAUUUCCA